rnacentral:rRNA from 1 species
GACGAACGCUGGCGGCGUGCUUAACACAUGCAAGUCGAACGGAAAGGCCCUGCUUUUGUGGGUUGCUCGAGUGGCGAACGGGUGAGUAACACGUGAGUAACCUGCCCUUGACUUUGUGAUAACUUCAGGAAACUGGGGCUAAUACCGGAUAGGAUCUCCUGCUGCAUGGUGGGGGUUGGAAAGUUUCGGCGGUUGGGGAUGGACUCGCGGCUUAUCAGCUUGUUGGUGGGGUAGUGGAUUACCAAGGCUUUGACGGGUAGCCGGCCUGAGAGGGGGACCGGCCACAUUGGGACUGAGAGACGGACCAGACUCCUACGGGAGGCAGCAGUGGGGAAUAUUGCACAAUGGGCGGAAGCCUGAUGCAGCAACGCCGCGUGCGGGAUGACGGGCUUCGGGUUGUAAACCGCUUUCGCCUGUGACGAAGCGUGAGUGACGGUAAUGGGUAAAGAAGCAACGGCUAACUACGUG